AUUGAACGCUGGCGGCAUGCCUUACACAUGCAAGUCGAACGGUAACAGGUCUUCGGAUGCUGACGAGUGGCGAACGGGUGAGUAAUACAUCGGAACGUGCCCGAUCGUGGGGGAUAACGAAGCGAAAGCUUUGCUAAUACCGCAUAAGAUCUACGGAUGAAAGCAGGGGACCGCAAGGCCUUGCGCGAACGGAGCGGCCGAUGGCAGAUUAGGUAGUUGGUGGGAUAAAAGCUUACCAAGCCGACGAUCUGUAGCUGGUCUGAGAGGACGACCAGCCACACUGGGACUGAGACACGGCCCAGAGUCCAACGGGAGGCAGCAGUGGGGAAUUUUGGACAAUGGGCGCAAGCCUGAUCCAGCCAUGCCGCGUGCAGGAUGAAGGCCUUCGGGUUGUAAACUGCUUUUGUACGGAACGAAAAGACUCUGGUUAAUACCUGGGGUCCAUGACGGUACCGUAAGAAUAAGCACCGGCUAACUACGUGCCAGCCGCCGCAGUAACAC
rnacentral:rRNA from 1 species